rnacentral:rRNA from 1 species
AGCGAACGCUGGCGGCAGGCCUAACACAUGCAAGUCGAACGGAUCCUUCGGGAUUAGUGGCGGACGGGUGAGUAACACGUGGGAACGUGCCCUUUGGUUCGGAACAACUCAGGGAAACUUGAGCUAAUACCGGAUGUGCCCUUCGGGGGAAAGAUUUAUCGCCAUUGGAGCGGCCCGCGUCUGAUUAGCUAGUUGGUGAGGUAACGGCCCACCAAGGCGACGAUCAGUAGCUGGUCUGAGAGGAUGAUCAGCCACACUGGGACGGAGACACGGCCCAGACUCCUACGGGAGGCAGCAGAGGGGAAUCUUGCGCAAUGGGCGAAAGCCUGACGCAGCCAUGCCGCGUGAAUGAUGAAGGUCUUAGGAUUGUAAAAUUCUUUCAGCGGUGACGAUAAUGACGGUACCCGCAGAAGAAGCUCCGGCUAACUUCGUG